rnacentral:rRNA from 1 species
GACGAACGCUGGCGGCGUGCUUAACACAUGCAAGUCGAACGGAAAGGCCCUGCUUUUGUGGGGUGCUCGAGUGGCGAACGGGUGAGUAACACGUGAGUAACCUGCCCUUGACUUUGGGAUAACUUCAGGAAACUGGGGCUAAUACCGGAUAGGAGCUCCUGCUGCAUGGUGGGGGUUGGAAAGUUUCGGCGGUUGGGGAUGGACUCGCGGCUUAUCAGCUUGUUGGUGGGGUAGUGGCUUACCAAGGCUUUGACGGGUAGCCGGCCUGAGAGGGUGACCGGCCACAUUGGGACUGAGAGACGGCCCAGACUCCUACGGGAGGCAGCAGUGGGGAAUAUUGCACAAUGGGCGGAAGCCUGAUGCAGCAACGCCGCGUGCGGGAUGACGGCCUUCGGGUUGUAAACCGCAUUCGCCUGUGACGAAGCGUGAGUGACGGUAAUGGGUAAAGAAGCACCGGCUAACUACGUG